rnacentral:rRNA from 1 species
UGCCAGCAGCCGCGGUAAUACGGAGGGGGCUAGCGUUGUUCGGAAUUACUGGGCGUAAAGCGCACGUAGGCGGACUGAUAAGUUGGGGGUGAAAUCCCAAGGCUCAACCUUGGAACUGCCCUCAAAACUGCCAGUCUUGAGUCCGGAAGAGGUGAGUGGAAUUCCUAGUGUAGAGGUGAAAUUCGUAGAUAUUAGGAAGAACACCAGUGGCGAAGGCGACUCACUGGCGCAUUUCUGACGCUGAGGCGCGAAAGCGUGGGGAGCAAACAGGAUUAGAUA